rnacentral:rRNA from 1 species
CCUUGACAUACUAAGAACUUUCCAGAGAUGGAUUGGUGCCUUCGGGAACUUAGAUACAGGUGCUGCAUGGCUGUCGUCAGCUCGUGUCGUGAGAUGUUGGGUUAAGUCCCGNAACGAGCGCAACCCUUUUCCUAUUUGCCAGCGGGUCAUGCCGGGAACUUUUAAGGAUACUGCCAGUGACAAACUGGAGGAAGGCGGGGACGACGUCAAGUCAUCAUGGCCCUUACGGCCAGGGCUACACACGUGCUACAAUGGUCGGUACAAAGGGUUGCUACCUCGCGAGAGGAUGCUAAUCUCAAAAAGCCGAUCGUAGUCCGGAUCGCAGUCUGCAACUCGGCUGCGUGAAGUCGGAAUCGCUAGUAAUCGCGGAUCAGAAUGCCGCGGUGAAUACGUUCCCGGGCCUUGUACACACCGCCCGUCACACCAUGGGAGUUUGUUGCACCAGAAGUAGGUAGUCUAACCGCAAGGAGGACGCUUACCACGGUGUGGCCGAUGACUGGGGUGAAGUCGUAACAAGGUAGGCGUAGAUGA